rnacentral:lncRNA from 1 species
UUUCGUCUCUUUUCAAAAGAGAAAAUCUUUGGCUGCUUACUUGGGAAAUGGAAGUCAAGUUACAAUUUCUUGAGAAGGUUUGGUUCAUACUUUGCAUCUUUUCCUUUUGGACGGAAUCCUUUCUGCACUGUUAGUCCUUCCAUGUGAUUUGAGUGAGACUGACCCUGCCUACCAACCCAGGGGUGGCCAACCAGAGUACUCUAUUUCCUGGCUACAAUGAUUGACUUAGUGAGGAGUCUGUGAUCCCAGAAGGGUUUGGGGAGUCAGAGGUUACAGGAAGGAUUCAUGGAAUCCCCAGAAGGCUGGAAGAUCAGGGUUGAGACAGUCGGAACCAAGGAAGCUCUGGAAACUUAAGAAGUAGGAGGCACAGCAAGUCUCACGGCAAGAAGAGCUUGAUAUGAGUACUAUUGGCUAGAGAAGUUUAGUAACUUUCCUGAAGUUUUACAGAAGAUAAGUAUAGAGUGGGAACUCAAAACUAUUUCUGUCUGAUUCCAAAGCCCUUUUAAUAUUUUGUAUUGCUUAAGUAGCAAGAAUAGAGUUUGUAAGAACAUACAAUAUCAAUAAAUGUUUCAUGUCCUUCAUCAUUAACUACUCCAGUUAGUAUCAACCGGGAACUUACUUGGAAUGUACAUUCUCUGCCCCCUCAACAGACCUACUGAAUCAAAAACUCUGGAGGUCAGGCCCAGAAAUCUGUCUUUUGGCAUACUUUCCAGGGUAAAAUGUUUAGCAUUCUGGUGUUUUUUCU